CCUACGGGAUGCUGCAGUGGGGAAUAUUGGACAAUGGGGGGAACCCUGAUCCAGCCAUGCCGCGUGUGUGAAGAAGGCCCUCGGGUUGUAAAGCACUUUCAGUGAGGAAGAACGCCUGGUGGUUAAUACCCAUCAGGAAAGACAUCACUCACAGAAGAAGCACCGGCUAACUCCGUGCCAGCAGCCGCGGUAAUACGGAGGGUGCGAGCGUUAAUCGGAAUUACUGGGCGUAAAGCGCGCGUAGGUGGCUUGAUAAGCCGGUUGUGAAAGCCCCGGGCUCAACCUGGGAACGGCAUCCGGAACUGUCAAGCUAGAGUGCAGGAGAGGAAGGUAGAAUUCCCGGUGUAGCGGUGAAAUGCGUAGAGAUCGGGAGGAAUACCAGUGGCGAAGGCGGCCUUCUGGACUGACACUGACACUGAGGUGCGAAAGCGUGGGUAGCAAACAGGAUUAGAUACCCUGGUAGUC
rnacentral:rRNA from 1 species